UACGUAGGUGACAAGCGUUAUCCGGAAUUACUGGGCGUAAAGCGCACGCAGGCGGUGCGGUAAGUCUGAUGUGAAAUCUCCUGGCUUAACUGGGAGGGGUCAUUGGAAACUGCCGUGCUUGAGGCGAUGAGAGGGGUGUAGAAUUCCCGGUGUAGUGGUGGAAUGCGUAGAUAUCGGGAGGAAUACCAGUGGCGAAAGCGACACCCUGGCAUUAGCCUGACGCUCAUGUGCGAAGGCGUGGGGAGCGAACGGG
rnacentral:rRNA from 1 species